CACCCGGCGCAGGGUGAGGGCUGCCCCGAUCGGCCCGUGGCCCGUAGUCCUGCCACUUCAGAGCAUUUCUUACGGAGCCACCUAGACAGGGCCAUGUGUGCACAUCUCACCGUCCUCACCCUGCUUGUGCCAUGAGACAACCAAGUGUCUACGCGGUGACCCGGCGCUCGGCUCCCAUGGACCUCCUGUCCACGUGUCGGGAGGGGGCCGCGGUGACCGGAGCCACGGCGGUGGGGUGGGCCGGGCAGCCUGCGUGGGAAGGGUGUUGGUGUGUUCAGGCCCCACGAGGAGGGCAUAGGUGUGCUCGCACACCGUGCAUGCUCAGCGGGCCGCCCCAGGGACCCCCCGGCCCUGCCUUGGGGCCCUCGUGCUGCACACGGUGGCGUGGAAUUCCUGCUCACGCUGGAGACAAAGCGAGUCUGUGUGUCAGAACCUGAGCUGUUGGUUCACGCCUCUGAGCAACUCCUACUUUUUCCCUAGAUCUUUAGUGAUUAAGGAGUUUUUUUCGAAGCCCAAGUACAACCACAUUUUGAAGCCAGAAGACUGUCUGAACCGUGCACCAUCCUGCAGCUGGGCAGGAGAACCGUGCAGAUCGCUGACCUGGAGACCGUGAAAGGCGAGCUGCACUUUGAGAUCAGGAAGGCCGGCACGCUGCAUGGAUUCACGGCCUGGUUCAGUGUCCGGUUCCAGAGCCUGGAGGAGGACGAGCCGCAGCUGGUGCCGAGCACAGGCCCGUUUCACCCAACCACCCACUGGAAGCAGGUGCUGUUUAUGAUGGACGAACCCAUGUCCGUGGUCUCGGGAGAUGUGGUCACAGGCUUGGUUGUGCUGCAGAGAAACCCCGUGUGGAGGAGGCACAUGUCCGUGGCGCUCAGCUUCCACACAAGACCCCACAUCCACACAAGACCCCACAUCGCAGAAAGUUGGAGAGAAGAUCUUUCCCAUCUGGAGAUGACGGUCGAAGUUGUGGGAAGCAGGUGCUGCAGGAAUGAGCCCGGGCGGAGACGUGCUUGGAUGUGAGCCCCCGUUCCUGUGGCCUGAGAGCUCCCCUGCCCGGCGGCGGGACACCCGUGUGCGUGCACGCUACCUUCCUCGUGGCCUCCAGAGGCGCCGCGUGGGGCUCGGUGGGGACCCCUCACCCCUGUCACUGCCCGUGUCUGUGCUCUAGAAGUAGGCUGUGUCCCCAGGUGUCCACAGUCUGGCUCGUGGCCGAGUCGGUGGCACUGUGUCCCUAAGCUAGGUCUAGAUCUCAACUCAUAGGGCACACGUGCAUCAACCUCGUACUCCUGUGAAAGUGGCUGUUCACGUAUCAUGUGUCAUGGUGUCCUUGCUGCCCGGGUCCCUCCCUGUCGUGCGAAGGUGGGCGCCCCAAAGCCGUGCAGGGCCUGGAGGCGGUGAUGCAUGUGACGGGACUCUGCAUGGAUAGUACAGUCGUAGAGAUGUCUUCCACGUAAAUUAUGUGUUGGCGCAUAGCACAUACUCAAUAAAUAAUUUUA